GUCAGAUCAAGACAUACCUUGUGGCCUAGAAAUGCUACUUCUAGAAAAUUACUUACAGAAAAAACCCAAAGGACCAGGCACAGACAAAACAGCUGCAGUGACUCUGUGAAGUUAUAUAUAGCCUCUGCCAAGCUGGAAUCUGAAGCUGUAGGUUCUUUUUCAUUAGAUGGAUCCCUGUGGAAUGACGGUUGUCAUUACAGGCAGGAAUUGUAAAUCACUCGUGGAGAUUCUCUCAGCACAUCUGGAAUCACACAACAGCUGUCUGAACUGCUCAUGGAUAAUGCUAAUCCAGAACCACAGGUGCUGCAAUGGAGGGCGUCAUGGGUGUGCCUUUGAGACCAACUAUCUGGUUAUUCGUCCUUCUCUCCUUGGUAGCCAGUUCUCUGCACACAGCUGCAUCACUGACGAAGGCUGGCAUGGCUCUGAUUUGCUUCAGGAUUUCUGACCUUUCUUAGGACAGCGGCCACUAGCCACAUGUGGCUGCUGCGCACUUGAACUCCAGCCGGUUCCCACUGAGGGCUGCUGCAAGUGUGAAACACACGGUGGAUUUUGAAGACUUCGAAUGAAAAAAAGAAUAUAAAAUAUAUUGUUAAUAACUUUUUAUAUUGCUACAGGUUGAAAUAACAUGUUGUAUAUGGAGGUUAAAUAAAAUGUAUUAUUAAGAUUAA
rnacentral:lncRNA from 1 species